rnacentral:rRNA from 1 species
AACGAACGCUGGCGGCAUGCCUAGCACAUGCAAGUCGAACGCCCGUAGCAAUACGGGAGUGGCAGACGGGUGCAUAACACGUGGGAACCUACCCUAGGGUUCGGAAUAACCGCGGGAAACUGCGGCUAAUACCGGAUACGUCCUCUGGGAGAAAGAUUUAUCGCCCUUGGAGGGGCCCGCGUCGGAUUAGCUAGUUGGUGAGGUAACGGCUCACCAAGGCGACGAUCCGUAGCUGAUCUGAGAGGAUGAUCAGCCACACUGGAACUGAGACACGGUCCAGACUCCUACGGGAGGCGGCAGUGGGGAAUAUUGGACAAUGGGCGCGAGCCUGAUCCAGCAAUGCCGCGUGGGCGAUGAAGGCCUUCGGGUUGUAAAGCCCUUUUGGCAGGGACGAUGAUGACGGUACCUGCAGAAUAAGCCCCGGCUAACUUCGUGCCAGCCGCCGCGGUAA